rnacentral:rRNA from 1 species
UACGUAGGGGGCAAGCGUUGUCCGGAAUUAUUGGGCGUAAAGAGCGCGUAGGCGGUCCGGUAAGUCGGUUGUGAAAGUCGGGGGCUCAACCCUCGGAUGCCGAUCGAUACUGUCGGGCUAGAGUCCGGAAGAGGCGAGUGGAAUUCCUGGUGUAGCGGUGAAAUGCGCAGAGAUCCGGAAGAACACCGGUGGCGAAGGCGGUCUGCUGGGCAGUUGCUGACACUGAGGCGCUACAGCGUGGGAGCAAACAGG